CACCUUGAGUGUGUGUUCUGGUCGAGUUCUUCACAGAAGCCAAGAGAAGCUUCUAAGCUCCAACCCUAAUCAACCAAAUUUCAUCAAAUCAAAGGGGCAAAUCGAGUCCAAAUAGAAAUCUAAACUCAGAUUAGUGAUCACCUCCGUGAAAGGAACAUAAGGCACGGUGGUUGAAUCUUCAAGUGGUUAAGUCGGAGCGGACGCGCGCUUGAAGGAUAUGCUUUGAAAGGUGAAUGUCGAGAGCCCCGGAUGAAGAUCAAGCGUCGAGCAAGAACCGAACACGCGUUAAAUGAAGCUUCCGCAGGUUGUUUCGUCGUCAUUCUUAAACGAUGAAUUAAAUUACACUAUGUAGUUUUGCUUUCAAAAUUUAGUAAAGUUUUAAUAAAUCCGUAUUUGAGCAUGAA